AACGAACGCUGGCGGCAGGCUUAACACAUGCAAGUCGAGCGCCCCGCAAGGGGAGCGGCAGACGGGUGAGUAACGCGUGGGAAUCUACCCAUCUCUACGGAAUAACGCAUGGAAACGUGUGCUAAUACCGUAUACGUCCUUCGGGAGAAAGAUUUAUCGGAGAUGGAUGAGCCCGCGUUGGAUUAGCUAGUUGGUGGGGUAAAGGCCUACCAAGGCGACGAUCCAUAGCUGGUCUGAGAGGAUGAUCAGCCACACUGGGACUGAGACACGGCCCAGCCUCCUACGGGAGGCAGCAGUGGGGGAUAGUGGACAAUGGGGGCAAGCCUGAUCCAGGCAGGCCGCGUGAGUGAUGAAGGCCCCAGGGUUGUAAAGCUCUUUCACCGGUGAAGAUAAUGACGGUAACCGGAGAAGAAGCCCCGGCUAACUUCGUGCCAGCCGCCGCGGUAAUAC
rnacentral:rRNA from 1 species